rnacentral:rRNA from 1 species
UACGAAGGGGACUAGCGUUGUUCGGAAUCAUUGGGCGUAAAGCGCGCGUAGGCGGCCCGGUAAGUCCGCUGUGAAAGCCCAGGGCUCAACCCUGGAACGCCGGUGGAUACUGUCGGGCUAGAGUCCGGAAGAGGCGAGUGGAAUUCCUGGUGUAGCGGUGGAAUGCGCAGAUAUCAGGAGGAACACCGAUGGCGAAGGCAGCUCGCUGGGACGGUACUGACGCUGAGGCGCGAAAGCGUGGGGAGCGAACAGG